UACGUAGGGGGCAAGCGUUGUCCGGAUUUAUUGGGCGUAAAGAGCGUGUAGGCGGCCUGAAAGGUCAGCUGUGAAAACUCGAGGCUCAACCUCGAGACGUCGGUUGAAACCAUCUGGCUAGAGUCCGGAAGAGGAGAGUGGAAUUCCCGGUGUAGCGGUGAAAUGCGCAGAUAUCGGGAAGAACACCCGUGGCGAAGGCGGCUCUCUGGACCGAC
rnacentral:rRNA from 1 species